rnacentral:tRNA from 1 species
UAGGAAGUGUUGUAGUGGAAACACUUGGAGUUCUGAUCACCAUGAUAUGGGUUCCAGUUCCUUCUUUCUAA